rnacentral:rRNA from 1 species
CUACGGGGGGCUGCAGUGAGGAAUUUUGCGCAAUGGGGGAAACCCUGACGCAGCAACGCCGCGUGAGUGAUGAAGGCCUUCGGGUCGUAAAACUCUGUCAAGUGGGAAGAACCUAUGUAAGGUUAAUACCCUUAUGUACUGACGGUACCACUGAAGGAAGCACCGGCUAACUCCGUGCCAGCAGCCGCGGUAAUACGGAGGGUGCAAGCGUUAUUCGGAAUUAUUGGGCGUAAAGGGCGCGCAGGCGGUUUUGUAAGUCAGAUGUGAAAGCCCGGGGCUUAACCUCGGAAGUGCAUUUGAUACUGCAAGGCUUGGGUAUGGGAGGGGGAAGUGGAAUUCCUGGUGUAGAGGUGAAAUUCGUAGAUAUCAGGAGGAACACCAGUGGCGAAGGCGACUUCCUGGACCAAUACUGACGCUGAGGCGCGAAGGCGUGGGGAGCAAACAGGAUUAGAUACCCUAGUAGUC